rnacentral:tRNA from 1 species
AAAGGGAGACCUAAUUCAGGUAUGGGACGAAAAAAAAGUAGUCGCUACCAAGAAUCAAUCCCAAAAGGUCGGAGCGAGGCAUGAGGCUUUCAAACUAGGUUCUGGGUUCACACAAGACCUGAAUCAGGAACAAGGGCUAUUAGCUCAGGUGGUUAGAGCGCACCCCUGAUAAGGGUGAGGUCCCUGGUUCGAGUCCAGGAUGGCCCACCUGCACAGGUGGCAAAAACAAGAGAAGCGAGGAAUCAGCACCUUAUCUUAUCUAUAUAUAAAUACAAGUAAGAGAGAAUGCUGGCUCUGAGUAAAGAGUCCAGAGGAACCUUGAAAACUGCAUAGAGCUAGGUGAAAAAGCCAAAAAAGAAGACCGCAAG